rnacentral:rRNA from 1 species
AGCGAACGCUGGCGGCAGGCUUAACACAUGCAAGUCGAGCGCCCGUAGCAAUACGGGAGCGGCAGACGGGUGAGUAACACGUGGGAACGUGCCCUUUGGUUCGGAACAACCCAGGGAAACUUGGGCUAAUACCGGAUACGCCCUUACGGGGAAAGAUUUAUCGCCGAAGGAUCGGCCCGCGUCUGAUUAGCUAGUUGGUGGGGUAACGGCCCACCAAGGCGACGAUCAGUAGCUGGUCUGAGAGGAUGAUCAGCCACACUGGGACUGAGACACGGCCCAGACUCCUACGGGAGGCAGCAGUGGGGAAUCUUGGACAAUGGGCGCAAGCCUGAUCCAGCCAUGCCGCGUGGGUGAUGAAGGCCCUAGGGUUGUAAAGCCCUUUCGGCGGGGAAGAUAAUGACGGUACCCGCAGAAGAAGCCCCGGCUAACUUCGUGCCAGCCGCCGCCGUAACAC